rnacentral:lncRNA from 10 species
CAAUGAAAGCCUCGAGCUUUGAGGGCUGCGCCUGCCGGUGGGAGUCCAGGCAGUCCCUUGUAGGGGAGCAGGCAGACCCCUCAGCCCUGGGAGCAGGCACACAAGACUGAGUGGGGGCCCAGCGAGGUGGCUCACGCCUGUAAUCCCAGCACUUUGGGAGGCCAAGGCGGACGGAUCACUUGAGGUCAUGAAUUCAAGACCAGCCUGACCAACAUGGUGAAACUCCAUCUCUAAUAAAAAUACAAAAAAAUUGGCAAGACAUGGUGGCAGGCACCUGUAGUCCCAGCUACUCGGGAGGCUGAGGCAGGAGAAUCACUUGUACCCAGGAGGGGGAGGUUGCAGUGAGCCGAGAUGGCGCCAUUCCACUCCAGCCUGGGAGACAGAGCGAGAGUCUGUCUCAAAAAAAAAAAAAAAAAAAAAAGGCCAGGCGCGGUGGCUCACGCCUGUAAUCCUGUAAUCCCAGAACUUUGAGAGCUGGUUAAAGAAGCUGAGGCCCAUGUCCAGCAGCCGCAUCCAGAGCUCAGCCAG